ACUCUGGUAUUGAUUGGUGCUUGCAUCAUGAUUUACAUUUGAGUGAGUGGCGAACUGGUGAGUAACACGUGGGAAACCUGCCCAGAAGCGGGGGAUAACACCUGGAAACAGAUGCUAAUACCGCAUAACAACUUGGACCGCAUGGUCCGAGCUUGAAAGAUGGCUUCGGCUAUCACUUUUGGAUGGUCCCGCGGCGUAUUAGCUAGAUGGUGGGGUAACGGCUCACCAUGGCAAUGAUACGUAGCCGACCUGAGAGGGUAAUCGGCCACAUUGGGACUGAGACACGGCCCAAACUCCUACGGGAGGCAGCAGUAGGGAAUCUUCCACAAUGGACGAAAGUCUGAUGGAGCAACGCCGCGUGAGUGAAGAAGGGUUUCGGCUCGUAAAACUCUGUUGUUAAAGAAGAACAUUUCUGAGAGUAACUGUUCAGGUAUUGACGGUAUUUAACCAGAAAGCCACGGCUAACUACGUGCCAGCAGCCGCGGUAAUACGUAGGUGGCAAGCGUUGUCCGGAUUUAUUGGGCGUAAAGCGAGCGCAGGCGGUUUUUUAAGUCUGAUGUGAAAGCCUUCGGCUCAACCGAAGAAGUGCAUCGGAAACUGGGAAACUUGAGUGCAGAAGAGGACAGUGGAACUCCAUGUGUAGCGGUGAAAUGCGUAGAUAUAUGGAAGAACACCAGUGGCGAAGGCGGCUGUCUGGUCUGUAACUGACGCUGAGGCUCGAAAGUAUGGGUAGCAAACAGGAUUAGAUACCCUGGUAGUCCAUACCGUAAACGAUGAAUGCUAAGUGUUGGAGGGUUUCCGCCCUUCAGUGCUGCAGCUAACGCAUUAAGCAUUCCGCCUGGGGAGUACGGCCGCAAGGCUGAAACUCAAAGGAAUUGACGGGGGCCCGCACAAGCGGUGGAGCAUGUGGUUUAAUUCGAAGCUACGCGAAGAACCUUACCAGGUCUUGACAUACUAUGCAAAUCUAAGAGAUUAGACGUUCCCUUCGGGGACAUGGAUACAGGUGGUGCAUGGUUGUCGUCAGCUCGUGUCGUGAGAUGUUGGGUUAAGUCCCGCAACGAGCGCAACCCUUAUUAUCAGUUGCCAGCAUUAAGUUGGGCACUCUGGUGAGACUGCCGGUGACAAACCGGAGGAAGGUGGGGAUGACGUCAAAUCAUCAUGCCCCUUAUGACCUGGGCUACACACGUGCUACAAUGGAUGGUACAACGAGUUGCGAACUCGCGAGAGUAAGCUAAUCUCUUAAAGCCAUUCUCAGUUCGGAUUGUAGGCUGCAACUCGCCUACAUGAAGUCGGAAUCGCUAGUAAUCGCGGAUCAGCAUGCCGCGGUGAAUACGUUCCCGGGCCUUGUACACACCGCCCGUCACACCAUGAGAGUUUGUAACACCCAAAGUCGGUGGGGUAACCUUUUAGGAACCAGCCGCCUAAGGUGGGACAGAUGA
rnacentral:rRNA from 2 species